rnacentral:misc_RNA from 1 species
GAUGAAGAACGCAGCGAAAUGCGAUACUUGGUGUGAAUUGCAGAAUCCCGUGAACCAUCGAGUCUUUGAACGCAAGUUGCGCCCGAAGCCUCGGCUAAGGGCACGUCUGCCUGGGCGUCACGCAUCGCGUCUCCCCCAAACCGCCAAGGCGGAGGGGAAGGAAGAUGGCUUCCCGUGCCUCACCCGGGCGCGGUUGGCCUAAAUUUGGAGCCCGCGGCACUUAGCUCUCGCGGCGAUAGGUGGUGAACAAGGCCUUGGCCGUGCAAACAACCCGCUGCGAAGCUCUAUGUCACGUGCGCUCGUCGGACCCUUUGAAGUUGCCUUUGGUGACUUAAAACCUUUGCGACCCCAGGUCAGGCGGGGCUACCCGCUGAAUUUAAGCAUAUCAUAAGCGGAGGA